rnacentral:rRNA from 1 species
AGAGAGAGACAUGCGCGCAUAUCAAUAAGCGGAGGAAAAGAAACUAACAAGGAUUCCCCUAGUAACGGCGAGUGAAGCGGGAAGAGCUCAAAUUUGAAAUCUUAAAGGGUUUCCCUUUACGAAUUGUAGUUUAAAGAAGUGUUUUCUGUUGAGGUUUUGGUAAAAGUUCUUUGGAAUAGGACAUCAUAGAGGGUGAGAAUCCCGUAUUUGACCUUUACUUUCAACUUUGUGAUACACUUUCAAAGAGUCGGAUUGUUUGGGAAUGCAGUCCAAAAUGGGUGGUAAAUUUCAUCUAAAGCUAAAUAUUGGCGAGAGACCGAUAGCGAACAAGUACCGUGAGGGAAAGAUGAAAAGAACUUUGAAAGGAGAGUUAAACAGUACGUGAAAUUGUCAAAAGGGAAGCGUUUGACACCAGUGUUGUUUUUCUGAAAAUCAAUUAAAGAACUGUUUAUGCUAAGUUGUUUAGACUUUAUCAGCUAAUCUGUUUAGUUUUGAGCUUUUCUUUAAUGCACUUUUCAGUUAACAAGUCAACAUCAAUUUCUUUUGCUGUAAAAAAGCUUGAGGAAGGUGGCUUGAGAUUCGUCUUAAGUGUUUAUAGCCUCUUGCCUAUGCAGUCGGAGAGAUUGAGGUCUGCAGCGUAGAUCCCUUCGGGGCUAAAUGCAUUUGUGCUAAGUUAUAGCAUUUUAUAGACAACUUGUUGACUAUGAUUUGUCUUGUAGCUUACUCGCUUAUGUUAUUUUACCUACGCUUAGGAUGUUGAGCGCAUGUCUCUCUCU